UACGUAGGGCGCAAGCGUUGUCCGGAAUUAUUGGGCGUAAAGAGCUCGUAGGCGGUUUGUUGCGUCGGCCGUGAAAACCUGCAGCUUAACUGUGGGCCUGCGGCCGAUACGGGCAGACUAGAGGUAGGUAGGGGAGAUCGGAAUUCCUGGUGUAGCGGUGAAAUGCGCAGAUAUCAGGAGGAACACCGGUGGCGAAGGCGGCGACCUGGGUCGACACUGACGCUGAGGCGCGAAAGCGUGGGGAGCAAACAGG
rnacentral:rRNA from 1 species